AUUGAACGCUGGCGGAAUGCUUUACACAUGCAAGUUGAGCGGCAGCGCGGGGCAACCUGGUGGCGAGCGGCGAACGGGUGAGUGAUACAUCGGAACGUGCCCAGACGUGGGGGAUAACUACUCGAAAGAGUGGCUAAUACCGCAUACGAUCUAAGGAUGAAAGCGGGGGAUCGCAAGACCUCGCGCGUUUGGAGCGGCCGAUGGCAGAUUAGGUAGUUGGUGGGGUAAAGGCUUACCAAGCCCGCGAUCUGUAGCUGGUCUGAGAGGAUGAUCAGCCACACUGGGACUGAGACACGGCCCAGACUCCUACGGGAGGCAGCAGUGGGGAAUUUUGGACAAUGGGCGAAAGCCUGAUCCAGCCAUUCCGCGUGCAGGAUGAAGGCCCUCGGGUUGUAAACUGCUUUUGUACAGAACGAAAAGACUCUUUCUAAUACAGAGAGUCCAUGACGGUACUGUAAGAAUAAGCACCGGCUAACUACGUGCCAGCAGCCGCGGUAA
rnacentral:rRNA from 1 species